GGGGUUGGGGAUUUGGCUCAGUGGUAGAACGCUUGCCUAGCAAGCUGGAAACCCUGGGUUCGGUCCUCAGCUCCAAACCUGAAAAACAAAAAAUCCCUAUAAAAAAACACAAAAUAUAAAAAAGACCAAAAACAAACAAGGUAACUGCGCACACAAACAACCUUU
rnacentral:tRNA from 1 species